rnacentral:rRNA from 1 species
UACGAAGGGGACUAGCGUUGUUCGGAAUCACUGGGCGUAAAGCGCACGUAGGCGGAUUUGUAAGUCAGGGGUGAAAUCCCGGGGCUCAACCUCGGAACUGCCUUUGAUACUGCAAAUCUCGAGUCCGGAAGAGGUGAGUGGAAUUCCUAGUGUAGAGGUGAAAUUCGUAGAUAUUAGGAAGAACACCAGUGGCGAAGGCGGCUCACUGGUCCGGUACUGACGCUGAGGUGCGAAAGCGUGGGGAGCAAACAGG